UACGUAGGGGGCAAGCGUUGUCCGGAAUCAUUGGGCGUAAAGAGCGUGUAGGCGGCCCGGUAAGUCCGCUGUGAAAGUCGGGGGCUCAACCCUCGAAUGCCGGCGGAUACUGUCGGGCUAGAGUCCGGAAGAGGCGAGUGGAAUUCCUGGUGUAGCGGUGAAAUGCGCAGAUAUCAGGAGGAACGCCAACGGCGAAGGCAGCUCGCUGGGACGGUACUGACGCUGAGACGCGAAAGCGUGGGGAGCAAACAGG
rnacentral:rRNA from 1 species